rnacentral:tRNA from 1 species
GAGGGUAUCGCUCAGUGGUAGAGCGCGUGCUUAGCAUGCCCAAGGUCCUAAGUUCAAUCCCCAGUGCCUCCA